rnacentral:tRNA from 1 species
GCCGGUUUUGCUCAGUGAUUAGAGCAUUGGCCUGAGGACCCAAGGGUCAAGGGUUCAAUUCCCGGUCAAGGGCA